UACGUAGGGGGCGAGCGUUAUCCGGAUUCAUUGGGCGUAAAGAGCGCGUAGGCGGCUUGUUAAGCGAGAUGUGAAAACCGGGGGCUUAACCCGCGGCCUGCAUCUCGAACUGGCAGGCUUGAGUCUGGUAGAGGAGUGUGGAAUUCCCAGUGUAGCGGUGAAAUGCGCAGAUAUUGGGAGGAACACCAGUGGCGAAGGCGGCACUCUGGGCCACGACUGACGCUGAGGCGCGAAAGCUAGGGGAGCGAAC
rnacentral:rRNA from 1 species